GCCCUGGCAACCCCACGUGCUGCGGAUUAGUGCACUUCCGGCGUGCAGAGCUGCCUGCAGUCGACUGUUUGAAGCUUCGCAGUGUUCCCGGGCGAGAUGCAUCCUCAUCUUCAGUUCGGCGCCCAGUUGACCUUGGGGACGACUAUUAGGACCAGGUAGCUUGCUCUGGGCCCUAGCACGCAGAUAUCCAGUUGGACCAGUGAGAUUUGUUGAAGAUGCUUUCUUCUUUUCCCAUUGUAUAAUAAGCUUCUUUGUCAAAAAUCAAGCAUCCAUAGAGCUCUGGAUUCCCAAAGCCUCAGGACCUAACUGAUAUCAGGCACUAUGCUCAUUCUACAAAGAGAUCAUGUUUGCAGAGUACUGACCACCAUCCAGGAAGAGAAGCUUUGUUUCUGAUGAGAACCUACUUCUGACCUACUGAAAGCUACAACUGCAAACAUAUGCACUGAGUGUCAUUAACACUGUUUCUUGAGGGGGAGUACGGUUCUGAGUGAAUCUGAAUGUGGGAAAUGAGGGAGAGAUGAUAUCUGAAAACCUCUGUAAGUUGCCUCAUGCUGCCUAAUAAAGAAUGAAUAAAGUAAGGAAUUCUUAUUUGCCCUUAAAAUUCAUAAGAGCAGUUGCAGCAUAUUACAGGAGAAGGAGGAAGGGACCUGAGAGUCAAAGGACUUCUAUCCCAAUUCUGCUUGGCUGUGUACCAGCUGAGAAAGUGUGUACAGUUUGCUUACAUCCCAGUCACUUGGAGCCCUCAUGUUGAAAUGGCAGUAGUGGGAGCUGGAGAGAGGUCAGUGGUAAAGAGCAACUGCUGCUUUUCCAAAGGACCAGAGAUGAGCACAUGAGGCUGCUCACAACUGCCUGUAGCCCAGCACCUCAGCACCAGGGAACCUGACCUCUGCUGAAGGCCUGUGUGCCCCCUCACAAAAAAUAAAAAUGAAUUUUGGAAUA
rnacentral:lncRNA from 1 species